rnacentral:rRNA from 1 species
UACAGAGGGGGCAAGCGUUGUUCGGAAUUACUGGGCGUAAAGGGCGCGUAGGCGGCCGCCUAAGUCAGACGUGAAAUCCCCAGGCUCAACCUGGGAACUGCGUCUGAUACUGGAUGGCUUGAGUUCGGGAGAGGGAAGUGGAAUUCCAGGUGUAGCGGUGAAAUGCGUAGAUAUCUGGAGGAACACCGGUGGCGAAGGCGGCUUCCUGGACCGACACUGACGCUGAGGCGCGAAAGCCAGGGGAGCAAACGGG